GGUGGCUCUGUGGUAGAGCUCUUGCCUUGCAUGCAUGAGGCCCGGGGUUUGAUUCCUCAGCACCA
rnacentral:tRNA from 1 species